GUACGCGUCCCUAUUGGUUCACUUUGACAAGCGCCGAUUCUGCCGAUGUUUCACUUUCACAAGUGUGAAAGUGAACCAAAUAUGAUGUGGAGCGCCAUCGUAGUAUUACGCACGCCAAACAUUAUUAUUUGUAUUCUUUAAUUUCUUCAUUCUAUUUGAUUAUUUCAACUCGGAAGUGUCUCAAAUAAUUUUCAAAAAUCAAAGUAAUAUUUUAGAUUUAACUCCCUCUCGUGUUUUAUGAUUUUGAAUCAUUUAAAGUAAAAAAUGAUGUACUUGAUCUCUUGAUCAAUUUGAAGCUACGAAUUUAUCGAAAACUACGCUGUCAACACUUGGGCAGAGUCGACGGUCCUGAAAAGAUAGAAGGUAGCACAGCUAUUGAAGUUCUGUUUGGGGAUGAUGGAGAUGGUGGUAACUGUAAUUUUGUGUGUUGGAACAAAUGGAAAAGUUGUCCGCCCCUACAUCAUAGAGACAUUACAGAUCCAGCCAAAUAUGGAAAGCCUAGACCUAUAUAUAGCAGCAGAUGAGACAUUCAUUGUCAUUGCACCAGAAGACAAAGAGCCAGAAAAGAAAAAGAAAAGUACUUGUGCCUGACCAUUAAAGCCCAACCAGAAGUGAGUUAGAAGUGAACAGAGCAGGCCAUACAAGGAAACGCCCUUUACAUAUUUCUCCAGUUACCUGACACAAACUGCCUGGAAGAGUUCACUGGGUUUUCAUUGAAAUUGGCACUUAACACUCAUACAUGUAUCUGCUUUUUAUUUACAUCUGGGAAAGGAUCUUUACUGCUACCAUCUGUAAGAGGAAACUAAUUUUUUAACCACGAUCCAUUGGAGUUGGUUGCUAGGCCAAGCCAAGAGCCAAACACAAGAUAGACACUAUAUUGGUCUGGUUGGGGUAGAAACAAAGUGAUACUAACCACUGUCAAAAUAUGCCAAUUAUAAUCAAGGAUCACAUGGCCACAAACCUACUUUAGAGGUCUUAGAGUUGAUGAGCUUGCAUACUGCAGUGUAGAUUGAUAAAGGAUGCUUGACAAGCAUGAAGAGAUGUCACCGUGCAAGGUAUAUUUGGAACAUGUGUUCUGUUUGUGCUACACCUCUACAAUUAUUUAAAGAAAUGCCUAUUGCCAGGUGAAUGAUUCUUCUUGCCAAACUGAACAAGCUCCAUCUCAACUCCUUCCAGACUUUGCUUUCCUCGUUAAAGGGAUAAUGAAGAGCAUACCCCUCAAACAUUGCUCUUUUGAUCCCAAUGAUGCUCAUUAAUUUCCUGCUCAUGGCUGUUGAGUUGACUCACUAUAUGUAGAACAAAAUUGGACUUCAAGUCCAAUUUAAAGGGCAAAACAACCGUUGUAAAAAAA